AACGCACAUUGCACCUUCUGGCUCUGUCAGAAGGUAUACUUGUUUGAGUAUCGUAUAACUUUCUCUCUCGGAUCUCUUUUCGAAGCGAUCAUCAACGGGAGGACCUGAGAGUCUUGCCUUUUUGGACUUUAUGUUCAAAAAUCAGCGCUAGUCUCUUUAAAUUUAUGCCUGGCUAAGGUCUCUAGUCUCGGUUCAUACCUCGCUUCGGCGAGAUUUGGACGGUCUAAUGGGAUAACAUCCAAUCAUUAGUCUACUAGAUCUCCUUGCUAAUGCAGGCAAUUGACCAUACCAGUGUAUUUACAGCAGUCAUGCUUAAAUUUACGGUAUAUUUUCAACUUUACCGAUCUCAAAUCAAGUAGGAUUACCCGCUGAACUUAA
rnacentral:misc_RNA from 1 species